rnacentral:tRNA from 2 species
GCGGGGGUGCCGGAGCGGUCAAACGGGCCAGGUUGAGGGCCUGGUGGCUUAGUGCCUGCGAGGGUUCAAAUCCCUUCCCCCGCA